UCUCGUUGGAUUUUCUUGACGACAUUAGACUUCAAUCCGUCGAGGAUAUUAAAUUCAAUCGAUAACAUCUUUCCUUUGCUGUUUCUAAAUUAAAAAGUCGUUGUACUAAUGUGUAUAAUUUACAUUUUUCCGUGAGAUAUAUAUGAUUAAGAAGAAAGGAAAGAAUGCAAGUUAAAAGUUAUUUGAUAAAACGCAUCAAAAUCCACGAUUCGAAGAUAAAUUAAUUUAAACAAGGUUGAGCAAUCAAUUUCCGGUUGGAAAGUAUUAAAAGGGUAUGAAACGAUCGGCUCGUUUAUAAUCAAAUCAAAUUAUAAAGAGACGUUAGUUCUGAUGUUGUCAACACUGCAAGAAAAAAAAAUGUGUAAACGAUAUUAUUAAUAACUGGUAUUCAAACUCGAAUGUAUACUUGUCGAUGCAAUCGAUUUUAAUGUUAGCGUGGGUGGUCACAGGUGAACGUAUGAAAUUGAGAAAGAAAAAAAAUGGGAAAAAAUCGUUCGUCCCAAGAUCUAUUUUUAUUAUAAAGUUGAAAAAGAACGAUCGAACGACAAAGUUGAUUCUUGUCGCAGAUAAUUCUGGAAUUCUCGAUUUGCUGACAAAACGGACAAUUCGAUCUGCUAUUACAGAGGCAAAUAGAAACGGUGGAUCUAUAAAUAAUCGAGUGGCUAUAACGGGAUAUAUAAUAACAGGGCCUCGAAUUAUUCAAGUACCGAGAGCAUAAUUAUCCAAUCGUUUGACUCCAGCUCCAUUCAAAGUCACCGGAGCAGCACGACAAGCAAUAACUUUUAGAUCCUGUGCCACGACGCCCCAUAUUUUACGAUUACAGCGUCCACGUAGGUGAACGUGAUUGUCUGCGGCGAUGUUAUUUCAUAGUAGUCUGAUAUACUAUAUAACGAACGAGGCAACAGAGUUUCGAGCUGAUACUGAUUUACCGACCUGGCAAUGGUUCCGUUUUGGUAAAAGAAUUUUUAAUACUUGUAGUUUUCUUAAUUCAAAAUAUACAUUGUCAAUUUGACAAUGUAUAUCGUAAUUUCUCAAAAGAUAAAGUUAAUCUUCAUAUAUUCUUUUUCUUCGUUUUUAUUUUAUUAACAAUUUAUUAAAUCUUUCAGUUUUUUCAUCUUACAUAUAUUAUUUUAUUAAAAGUUUAUUCAAUCAACAUCUAGAUCACCUAAAUUUUCCCACCUAACCUCUUUUUCGAUUAUCCUCAAAUCCUCUCUCUGCAACCUGCGCAAAUUCACAAUGCGCAACAGCACACAUGCGCAUUGUUCGUUGUUCAAUCGCAGCGCAACGAUAGCAGCACUCGAAUCGAACGAGACGAGUGAUACGGAUAACUAAUAAGUUUUCGUUUUCUUUUCCUAUCUUCCCUUCUCUCCCUCUCUCACUCCUAGCAAAGAAAAAAGGAAAAAAGAAGACGGUGGCGUGCGUUACACAAGAACGAUAAGAAGGAGAAACUUGGUGCAAAGCGCGUGCACAACUCGAAGGGGCAUGUCCUUCGGCGUAAAAGUCCUGGCCCAUGGGCCCAACGACCGUGUGUCGUUGUUAUCGGGCCUGCUUACGCCACAUUUCACUCGAGCUCUGCUCCACCUCGACUCGAUAUAUAGUAUACAUAUAUAUAUAUAUAUAAGCAUUCGAUGCUUUUUUUUACUUGGAACGACGUGAACCAGAUCUUUUUGCGGCGAACUCGCUGUAACGUUAACUCUUAAACGGCGGCCAACGCCUCGCCACUUUCUGCGCUCGCCUGUCCAUUUGCGGCGGCUUUGCCAUGUCAAUGCAAAUGUUCUUCCUGACAAUGUAACGACGCCGUGGAAGUACUAUGGGAAAAGUUUAUCCCGGGAUUCAUGAUUAAUAAACGAAAGAUGGUCCAAGAUCCAAAUGGGGACGAUGAAUUAUUACAGAUGUUUGGAAUUCAAUUUUUGGAACGACGAGAAUUAUUAUUUCGAAACGUUUUUAUGGAAGAUGAUUUUUUUUUUUUUCUCGAAGAUCAAUAAAGUCGAUCCAAAUGGAGAGAAGAUGGAUUAUUGUACACGUUUGCUAUAAAAAAUAAUGGAUCCAAAUGGAGAAGAUGGAUUAUCAUAGUCGCCAAUUUGGAAUUCAAUUUUUGGAAAUGGCGUUUUUUUUGUUAUUUUUUCUUUCUUUUUAUUUCUUUCGUCCGAUUGUGCCCGAAUGAUAAUUGAACAUAUUCAAUAUCCGUCGUUCGCAACGUUCUGGAAACAAAUGGAGGGCAAGCUCGCAUUAGGCUCGUGUAUAUCGGGCAACUUUCAUCUGGACAUUUUUAUUCGACUUGCGGAUAGCGUGGAGUCACCGUGUACAUCGUCGAUCGGCGCUCGAACAAAACGAUUUCACGGCAGAAGCUGGUGAAAUGGAAAAUCAUUCUCGUUUUCUUUCGCCUAGUUUUCUUCUCCUUUUUUCGAUGAAAUACGAGCAACUCGUGAAACCUUAACGAUCGUUGCACAACCGCACAAUUAUCGCGUGCUCAGACUGUCGGCAAUUCCUAACUUACACACAUUUUGUGCCUCGUUGCCGUGGUUGAGAGCUGGUACAGAGAGAGAGAGAGAGAGAGAAAAAAAGGAACGUAGUUAAUCGUAAUAAUUAUUUUAACCUGUUGUCAACCGCCAGUCCAUUGUGUACACGCGAAGAAUAUCUUGAUAUUCCUCACGAAUAUUUUUAUUAUC